rnacentral:rRNA from 1 species
CCUACGGGAGACAGCAGUGAGGAAUAUUGGUCAAUGGGCGAGAGCCUGAACCAGCCAAGUCGCGUGAAGGAUGACGGCCCUACGGGCUGUAAACUUCUUUUGUAAGGGAGCAAUUGAGUCCACGUGUGGGCUUACCGAGAGUCCCUGAAGAAAAAGCAUCGGCUAACUCCGUGCCAGCAGCCGCGGUAAUACGGAGGAUGCGAGCGUUCUCCGGAUUUAUUGGGUGUAAAGGGUGCGUAGGCGGAAUAUCAAGUCAGCGGUAAAAAUUCGGGGCUCAACCCCGUCGUGCCGUUGAAACUGGUGUUCUGGAGUGGGCGAGAGGUAUGCGGAAUGCGUGGUGUAGCGGUGAAAUGCAUAGAUAUCACGCAGAACUCCGAUUGCGAAGGCAGCAUACCGGCGCCCAACUGACGCUGAAGCACGAAAGCGUGGGUAUCGAACAGGAUUAGAUACCCGAGUAGUC